UCGGGAAUAUUGCGCAAUGGAGGAAACUCUGACGCAGUGACGCCGCGUGCAGGAAGAAGGUUUUCGGAUUGUAAACUGCUUUAGACAGGGAAGAAUAAAGACAGUACCUGUAGAAUAAGCUCCGGCUAACUACGUGCCAGCAGCCGCGGUAAUACGUAGGGAGCAAGCGUUAUCCGGAUUUAUUGGGUGUAAAGGGUGCGUAGACGGGAAAACAAGUUAGUUGUGAAAUCCCUCGGCUUAACUGAGGAACUGCAACUAAAACUAUUUUUCUUGAGUGUUGGAGAGGAAAGUGGAAUUCCUAGUGUAGCGGUGAAAUGCGUAGAUAUUAGGAGGAACACCGGUGGCGAAGGCGACUUUCUGGACAAUAACUGACGUUGAGGCACGAAAGUGUGGGGAGCAGACAGGAUUAGAUACCC
rnacentral:rRNA from 1 species